rnacentral:rRNA from 1 species
UACAGAGGUCCCAAGCGUUGUUCGGAUUCACUGGGCGUAAAGGGUGCGUAGGUGGUUGGGUAAGUCUGAUGUGAAAUCUCCGGGCUCAACCCGGAAAUGGCAUUGGAUACUAUUCGGCUAGAGGUUUGGAGGGGGGACUGGAAUUCUCGGUGUAGCAGUGAAAUGCGUAGAUAUCAGGAGGAACACCGGUGGCGAAGGCGGGUCUCUGGGCAGUAACUGACGCUGAGGAACGAAAGCGUGGGUAGCAAACAGG